GACGAACGCUGGCGGCGUGCCUAACACAUGCAAGUCGAGCGAUGAAACCCUUCGGGGUGGAUUAGCGGCGGACGGGUGAGUAACACGUGGGUAACCUGCCUCAAAGAGGGGAAUAGCCUUCCGAAAGGAAGAUUAAUACCGCAUAAUAUGUUUUGGUCGCAUGACUGAAACAUCAAAGGAGUAAUCCGCUUUGAGAUGGACCCGCGGCGCAUUAGCUAGUUGGUGAGGUAACGGCUCACCAAGGCGACGAUGCGUAGCCGACCUGAGAGGGUGAUCGGCCACAUUGGAACUGAGACACGGUCCAGACUCCUACGGGAGGCAGCAGUGGGGAAUAUUGCGCAAUGGGGGAAACCCUGACGCAGCAACGCCGCGUGAAUGAUGAAGGCCUUCGGGUUGUAAAGUUCUGUCUUCUGGGACGAUAAUGACGGUACCAGAGGAGGAAGCCACGGCUAACUACGUGCCAGCCGCCGCCGUAACAC
rnacentral:rRNA from 1 species